GAGGAGGCUUCAAAGGCCCAUGAGGAGGCCACCACAGGGCCAGCCCCAGUGCUCAGGAAACAUUUGGGGCCAGGGCCUUCCCCAGGGCCUGGUUUGAGUGACCACUGCUGCCAAAACAGGCCCAUCCACGACCCUGGGAGCCUUCACCAUCAGACUGCCUCCUCAUUCCUGGGGCCCUGCAGGGCCUUGUCCCAUUCCCCUUCACCUGGCUUGAUCCUGACCCUCAGUGUGAAAGUCAGGGUGGAUGAGGUAGAAGCCAUAGGAAAACAGGACAGUGGAUGCCAGGACAGUAAAGCAGGAUCUUACAGCCACACCCGGCAUACUGUAACCAUGACUCAGUCUUGUGUUCAUCUUAUGCAGCAAAGCUAUCGGCCUAAUUUUGCAAGGCUGUUGGGAGUGGUUGAGAGUACACUGCUGUUGCUGAUACCAGUAAGAACAGAAAAGAUGGAUGAAAGUGAACAGGAACCCAUUCUCUACCUGUAUUUUGGAGACACCUCUUUCUCUCCGCUGUAAAGGAAGACUUGAAAAAUCACACUCAUUCAGUGCCUGCCAUGCUCCCUCAAAACACCUCUUUCUGUAUUUCAUUAAUUCAGUAUUUUGGAGCUUAAUCUGAAUUUAAGGCAUUUAAUUUAAUCUGUACCUUCUCUCUAAAGUUUUCAAUACCAAAAUAUUUAAACGGUAAUGCACCUUUACUACUGGUGAGGAUUUCAUUCUUUUUUCUUUUUUUUUUCUUUUUUUUUCCAGUGGUAUUGGUAGUCCCUCUUGUGACUUUAACCACAUUGCUGAAAACGUAAUAAAAGUAAUUGGAUGGUUUCUGAAAAAAAGUUG
rnacentral:lncRNA from 1 species